rnacentral:tRNA from 1 species
GGGAGUAGAUGGGUUCUGGUGUGCCCUCUGGUCCUCAAAACCGGUAAUAGCGGCUAACCCCGUUUAGGUAAGUUCGAUUCUUACAUGCUCCCGCCA